AUCAACAGUUCAAAGAAUCACUUUAGAGUAGACGUCCCACCUCUGAGCUCUUUAAAAGAGCCACAGAAUCUCCACCCUUGCUGAUGACUUUAUGUCCUCAACGCCCUAAAGUGAAGCCGUUUUACUCCCGAUUCGACCUUGUUUAUCACACAUUUCGACACAACGCUGCCUCGGCGGUGCUUGGUCGGGUGCUGUCGAUUUGCUCUGGUCCAGGGAGUGGUGAUGAUCUUGACCUUUUCUUGACGUCAGGCUUCGGUCGGUCGGUUGAGGUGGGUGUUGAGGAGGUCUGAAAGGU
rnacentral:snoRNA from 1 species